rnacentral:rRNA from 1 species
UACAGAGGUCUCAAGCGUUGUUCGGAUUCAUUGGGCGUAAAGGGUGUGUAGGCGGCGCCGUAAGUCGGGUGUGAAAUUUCGGAGCUUAACUCCGAAACUGCAUUCGAUACUGCGGUGCUUGAGGACUGGAGAGGAGACUGGAAUUCAUGGUGUAGCAGUGAAAUGCGUAGAGAUCAUGAGGAAGACCAGUGGCGAAGGCGGGUCUCUGGACAGUUCCUGACGCUGAGGCACGAAGGUCAGGGGAGCAAACGGG